rfam:Microgenomates bacterium GW2011_GWC1_39_12 TT26_C0009, whole genome shotgun sequence.
GCCAGCGUAGCUCAGUGGUAGAGCGCCGCCUUCAUAAGGCGUUGGUCGCAGGUCCGAGUCCCGCCGCUGGCA